GGGGACGCCGGGCUUCGACAGAUCGUUGACCAACGGGAUGCAGAUCGAGGGCGGUUGGGCCACCUCGUUAAAAACCCCCACAACAUACAUGCAAAUGUAUUCCGAAGCGCACCUGCGCCUGCUCUUGCAGUAGCUUAAUGCGUCUCCCUGCCCUUCGGGGCGGGGCAUCGGCGAACGGACGCUCGUUCCCGUUCCCACCGGUGUCACCCUUCGAGCUUGGGCCGCUAACACUCCGGUAAAGCGGCCGAGAUAGACCGGAACCGACCGCGCGUGUUUCGCCGGAUUCCGAUCGCGCGGCCGUAAAUAAUCCGGCUGCAUCUGGGAGUAGUCCCGUUCGCGAUACGACCUGGACAGGGGUUCAACUCCCCUCGUCUCCAUUA
rnacentral:tmRNA from 1 species